rnacentral:tRNA from 1 species
GCGGAUGUAGUUCAAUGGUAGAACAUCAGCUUCCCAAGCUGAAUAUGGGAGUUCGAUUCUCCUCAUCCGCUCCA